GGAGAAAAAUGUUCACUGCAAAGAACCAGCCUUCCCAUAUGACUCAGGCUAUACAGGAAGCACGGCAGUGGAGGCCUUAGGAACUUACAAUCAUGGUGGAAGGUGGAGGGGAAGCAGGCACAUCUUCACAUGGUGGAGCAGGAAAGAGAGUGAAGAGGCAGUGAAAUACAGUGGAAUUUGGAUGAGAUUUGGAGUUAGACAAGGCUGGACUGGAUCCUGGAUCCACUAACCGCAGUCUGUGUGAUCUUAAACAGAGCUGAAGGCUUCUGUGACGGGUACAAAUCCUGAUGUAGCUGAUAAAUUCCGGAAAGAAAAUUGAACCAUUUAUAGAAAAAGAAGACAAAUCAGUAGGCCAGACAAAGCAGAAAUUUAAAAUAAUUUUUAUCAGAAUUAAAUGACAGUCUCGGAAA
rnacentral:lncRNA from 10 species